rnacentral:lncRNA from 1 species
AUUCCCACGGCGACGGCCUCCUGGCCGGCAUCAUGACUGUUGUUUUCCUCGCGGUGGCCAUAGCUUUUGGAUUUUACAUUCACAUUGGUUCAAGGGGCUUUUUCCUUUCUCUGUUUGAAGGAAGCCACCCUCUCGAUCCCCAGUCAGCGUGGCGUCCUCUCAGCAACCGCUCCUGGUCUUGCUUUGACUCCUGUGCUCCCGGGCUGCCGAGAACACGUCUGGAGCUUUUAAAUCAGGCUUUUAGGUUCAUCUCUGUGAAUAAUCAUCACAAAUAUUUACUGAGCAUCCUUCAUCUCCUGGAAGCCUCGUGGAUUAUCUUGCUGAAUCCUCACCACAGCAGCCCGCUGAGGGAGGGUGCUAUCAUCGUCCCUGUUUUUCAAGGGAGAGAAUCAAGGUUUGGGCAGGGACAAGGUCUUGCUAUGUUGCCCAAGCUGAUCUUGAACUCCUGGCCUCAAGCAAUCCUAAUAGUUCAGUCUCCCAAAUUGCUGAGAUUGUGGGUACAAGCCACUGCACCUGGACUUCUUCUGACAUUAUAAAGCAAAGAGUAUUUUCAAAAGCUGAUGCUACAUGUGCAUAUUCCAUAUUUGCUGAGCGCUUACUAUGUCCCCACUAAGUGCCAGGCACAGUUUUCAGCACUGCUUUAAAGUGUCUACAAGCUUAGAAAGAGCAUAGGCAUCUCUUGAAAUCCAGUGUUCUAGGGAAAGUUUUUCCUGUGGUUUUGCACAGAACCUACCGCUUCCUGUCCAAGGUGACAGCUUUAGCUGGGAGAGAAAUUAAAAAUGCCUCCUUGGAAUAGCUAUCUGAU